GACGAACGCUGGCGGCGUGCUUAACACAUGCAAGUGGAGCGACGAACCAGGGCUUGCCCUGGGGCAGAGCCGCGAACGGGUGAGUAACACGUGGGUAACCUACCCCGAUGACCGGGACAACCCGAGGAAACUCGGGCUAAUACCGGAUGUGUUCUUCUCACAUCAGUGAGAAGAGGAAAGGAAGCUUCGGCCUCCGCAUCGGGAUGGGCCCGCGGCCCCAUUAGCUUGUUGGUGGGGUAAUGGCCACCAAGGCUGCGAUGGGUAGCUGUUCUGAGAGGAAGAUCAGCCACACUGGGACUGAGACACGGCCCAGACUCCUACGGGAGGCAGCAGUGGGGAAUCUUGCGCAAUGCGCGAAAGCGUGACGCAGCAACGCCGCGUGC
rnacentral:rRNA from 1 species